CAAUAGCGUAUAUUAAAGUUGUUGCAGUUAAAAAGCUCGUAGUUGGAUUUCGGGGCAGCCUGGCUGGUCCGCCGCAAGGCGAGUACUGGUCAGCCGCCCUUCCUCUCGAAAGCCCCGACUGCUCUUCGUUGCAGUGGUCGGGUAGUUCGGGACGUUUACUUUGAAAAAAUUAGAGUGCUCAAGGCAGGCCUACGCCUGAAUACAUUAGCAUGGAAUAAUGGAAGAGGACCUCGGUCCUAUUUUGUUGGUUUCCAGGGCCGAAGUAAUGAUUAAGAGGGACAGUUGGGGGCAUUCGUAUUUAAUUGUCAGAGGUGAAAUUCUCGGAUUUAUGAAAGACGAACAACUGCGAAAGCAUUUGCCAAGGAUGUUUUCAUUAA
rnacentral:rRNA from 1 species